UAUCUUUCAUAAUUAAAAAAAUAAGUCAAUGUAAAAAAUGCUUAAAAACUUUAUUUUAAAUUUUUUUUUAAUGUGUUAUUCAUUUAUUUUAUAAUAAUAUGAACUUUUUUAUUAUUGUUAAUAAAUAUUUUUCUAAGUAAUUAUCAAUUUUAGUGUUAGAAAAAUUAUAGUAUAAUUUUGGUUAUAGGAAAGCCAUUGUUUUCCAUUUGUGGAACAAUUGGAAAAUUUAACUUUUAUUAUAAAGGAAAGUAGUGGAAAACAAUUUAAACCUUAACUUCGAAAACUUUUUCAGUUUUCCACAAGUGAACAUGCCUUGUUAAUUUCGAGUUAAUGCAUGUGGGUAUAACUAUUUAAUGCUUGUGGGUAUAACUAUAGGUUGGAGAGGACUUCAUUAAUAGGUUUGGAAUCAAUUGAUCACAGUUGAUGUCAAGGCAGAUUCU
rnacentral:misc_RNA from 1 species